rnacentral:rRNA from 1 species
UACGUAGGUGGCAAGCGUUGUUCGGAAUUAUUGGGCGUAAAGAGCUCGUAGGCGGUCUGUCGCGUCGGAUGUGAAAACCCAGGGCUCAACCCUGGGCCUGCAUUCGAUACGGGCAGACUAGAGUUCGGUAGGGGAGACUGGAAUUCCUGGUGUAGCGGUGAAAUGCGCAGAUAUCAGGAGGAACACCGGUGGCGAAGGCGGGUCUCUGGGCCGAAACUGACGCUGAGGAGCGAAAGCGUGGGGAGCAAACAGG